UGGCUCAUUAAAUCACACCUAAUCUACUGGAUAGUUAACAGUUACUUGGAUAACUGCGGUAAUUCUGGAGCUAAUACAUGCACAAAUCCCCGAACUUAAGUGAGGGGAGCUUUUAUUAGAUCAAAACCAAACGGCUUCGGCUGUUCUCUUGGUGACUCUGAAUAACUUUGAGCUGAUCGCAUAGCCUAGCGCUGGCGACAUAUCCUUCGAAGGUGUGCCCUAUCAACUGUCGACUGUGGCAUAGACGCCCACAGUGGUUUUGACGGGUAACGGGGAAUCAGGGUUCGAUUCCGGAGAGGGAGCCUUAAAAACGGCUACCACAUCUAAGGAAGGCAGCAGGCACGCAAAUUACCCAAUGACCGAAGGUCGAGGUAGUGACGAAAAAUAACGAUACAGGACUCAUCUGAGGCCCUGUAAUCGGAAUGAGUACACUUUAAAACCGUCCCCGAGGAUCUAUUGGAGGGCAAGUCUGGUGCCAGCAGCCGCGGUAAUUCCAGCUCCAAUAGCGUAUAUUAAAUUUGUUGUGGUUGAAAAGCUCGUAGUUGGAUCUCGGCGGUCUGAGGGCGGUUCACUUGCUAGUGCUACUGCCCUAUAGACCGUAGUUUUGCCAGAGGUCUCAGGGUGCUCUUAAUCGAGUGUCUUGUGAUGCUGGCAGGUUUACUUUGAAAAANUUAGAGUGCUCAAGGCAGGCUUUUACGCCUGAAUAUUCGUGCAUGGAAUAAUAGAAAUAGGAAGUCGUUUCUAUUUUGUUGGUUUUCGGAAAUCGACUUAAUGAUUAAUAGGGACAGUCGGGGGCAUUUGUAUUCAAACGACAGAGGUGAAAUUCUUGGACCGUUUGAAGACAAACUACUGCGAAAGCAUUUGCCAAGAAUGUUUUCAUUAAUCAAGAACGAAAGUUAGAGGUUCGAAGGCGAUUAGAUACCGCCCUAGUUCUAACCAUAAACGAUGCCAGCUAGCGAUCUGCCGACGUUUUUUUUGUAGACUCGGCAGGAAGCUUCCGGGAAACCAAAGCGUUUGGGUUCCAGGGGAAGUAUGGUUGCAAAGCUGAAACUUAAAGGAAUUGACGGAAGGGCACCACCAGGAGUGGAGCCUGUGGCUUAAUUUGACUCAACACGGGAAAUCUCACCAGGCCCGGACACUGGAAGGAUUGACAGAUUGAUAGCUCUUUCUUGAUUCGGUGGGUGGUGGUGCAUGGCCGUUCUUAGUUGGUGGAGUGAUUUGUCUGGUUAAUUCCGAUAACGAACGAGACUCUGUCCUGCUAAAUAGUGUCCGCCUCUCUUUUGGGCGGACAAUUCUUCUUAGAGGGACUGGCGACUCUCAGUCGCACGAGAUUGAGCAAUAACAGGUCUGUGAUGCCCUUAGAUGUUCUGGGCCGCACACGCGCUACACUGAAUAGAUCAACGUGUUCCCCCUAUCCGAGAGGAUCGGGUAAACCGCUGAACCCUAUUCGUGGUAGGGAUCGGGGCUUGCAAUUGUUCCCCGUAAACCAGGAAUUCCCAGUAGGCGCAAGUCAUAAGCUUGUGUCGAUUACGUCCCUGCCCUUUGUACACACCGCCCGUCGCUACUACCGAUUGAACGUUUUAGUGAGGUCCUCGGACUGACAGGUUGGCGGAUUACUCUGCCUGCCUGGCGGGAAGACGACC
rnacentral:rRNA from 1 species